AAUAUGUGGAGGAGCCAAGGACCCCACUUGAAGAAAGCAUUUCACAUCUCCGACAUUACUGCGAGCCAUAUACAAGUUGGUGUCAGGAAAUGUACUCACAAACUAAGCCCAGGAUGCAGAGCUUGGUUCAAUGGGGAUUAGGCAGCUAUGAAUAUCUCCAA